CUUUGGCUGAUAGGUACUGUAGCUGGUAUUGCUGUGAUUGGUUUAGUAGGUGUUUUAUUUUAUGGUUCAUAUUCUGGAUUGGGUUCAUCUCUAUAG
rnacentral:rRNA from 1 species